ACGAACGCUGGCGGCGUGCCUAAUACAUGCAAGUAGAACGCUGAAGAGAGGAGCUUGCUCUUCUUGGAUGAGUUGCGAACGGGUGAGUAACGCGUAGGUAACCUGCCUUGUAGCGGGGGAUAACUAUUGGAAACGAUAGCUAAUACCGCAUAACAAUGGAUGACACAUGUCAUUUAUUUGAAAGGGGCAAUUGCUCCACUACAAGAUGGACCUGCGUUGUAUUAGCUAGUAGGUGAGGUAACGGCUCACCUAGGCGACGAUACAUAGCCGACCUGAGAGGGUGAUCGGCCACACUGGGACUGAGACACGGCCCAGACUCCUACGGGAGGCAGCAGUAGGGAAUCUUCGGCAAUGGGGGCAACCCUGACCGAGCAACGCCGCGUGAGUGAAGAAGGUUUUCGGAUCGUAAAGCUCUGUUGUAAGUCAAGAACGAGUGUGAGAGUGGAAAGUUCACACUGUGACGGUAGCUUACCAGAAAGGGACGGCUAACUACGUGCCAGCAGCCGCGGUAAUACGUAGGUCCCGAGCGUUGUCCGGAUUUAUUGGGCGUAAAGCGAGCGCAGGCGGUUUGAUAAGUCUGAAGUUAAAGGCUGUGGCUCAACCAUAGUUCGCUUUGGAAACUGUCAAACUUGAGUGCAGAAGGGGAGAGUGGAAUUCCAUGUGUAGCGGUGAAAUGCGUAGAUAUAUGGAGGAACACCGGUGGCGAAAGCGGCUCUCUGGUCUGUAACUGUCGCUGAGGCUCGAAAGCGUGGGGAGCGAACAGGAUUAGAUACCCUGGUAGUCCACGCCGUAAACGCUGAGUGCUAGGUGUUGGAUCCUUUCCGGGAUUCAGUGCCGCAGCUAACGCAUUAAGCACUCCGCCUGGGGAGUACGACCGCAAGGUUGAAACUCAAAGGAAUUGACGGGGGCCCGCACAAGCGGUGGAGCAUGUGGUUUAAUUCGAAGCAACGCGAAGAACCUUACCAGGUCUUGACAUCCCGAUGCUAUUUCUAGAGAUAGAAAGUUACUUCGGUACAUCGGUGACAGGUGGUGCAUGGUUGUCGUCAGCUCGUGUCGUGAGAUGUUGGGUUAAGUCCCGCAACGAGCGCAACCCCUAUUGUUAGUUGCCAUCAUUCAGUUGGGCACUCUAGCGAGACUGCCGGUAAUAAACCGGAGGAAGGUGGGGAUGACGUCAAAUCAUCAUGCCCCUUAUGACCUGGGCUACACACGUGCUACAAUGGUUGGUACAACGAGUUGCGAGUCGGUGACGGCAAGCUAAUCUCUUAAAGCCAAUCUCAGUUCGGAUUGUAGGCUGCAACUCGCCUACAUGAAGUCGGAAUCGCUAGUAAUCGCGGAUCAGCACGCCGCGGUGAAUACGUUCCCGGGCCUUGUACACACCGCCCGUCACACCACGAGAGUUUGUAACACCCGAAGUCGGUGAGGUAACCUUUUGGAGCCAGCCGCCUAAGGUGGGAUAGAUGAUUGGGGUG
rnacentral:rRNA from 1 species